rnacentral:rRNA from 1 species
AUUGAACACUGGCGGCAGGACUAACACAUGCCAGUCGUCCGAGUGGCGAACGGGUGAGUAAUUUCUGGGAAUCUGCCGGAUGGAGGGGGUUAACUACUGGAGACGGUAGAUAAUACGGCAUACCAUCGCAUGAACCAUUAUGGGAUUAGCUAGCAGGUGGGGUAACGGCUCACCUAGGCGACGAUCCCUAGCUGGUCUGAGAGGAUGACCAGCCACACUGGGACUGAGACACGGUCCAGACUCCGACGGGAGGCAGCAGUGGGGAAUAUUGCACAAUGGGCGCAAGCCUGAUGCAGCCAUGCCGCGUGUAUGAAGAAGGCCUUCGGGUUGUAAAGUACUUUCAGCGGGGAGGCGUUACUGGCAGAAGAAGCACCGGCUAACUCCGUGCCAGCAGCCGCGGUAAUAC